UGUGGCUGUAGCUCAGUGGUAGAGUUCUUGCCUACUAUGCAUGAGGAUCUGGGUUCAAUUCUCAGUACCACAA